AGAGUUUGAUCCUGGCUCAGGACGAACGCUGGCGGCGUGCCUAAUACAUGCAAGUCGAACGCUUCUUUUUCCACCGGAGCUUGCUCCACCGGAAAAAGAGGAGUGGCGAACGGGUGAGUAACACGUGGGUAACCUGCCCAUCAGAAGGGGAUAACACUUGGAAACAGGUGCUAAUACCGUAUAACAAUCGAAACCGCAUGGUUUUGAUUUGAAAGGCGCUUUCGGGUGUCGCUGAUGGAUGGACCCGCGGUGCAUUAGCUAGUUGGUGAGGUAACGGCUCACCAAGGCCACGAUGCAUAGCCGACCUGAGAGGGUGAUCGGCCACAUUGGGACUGAGACACGGCCCAAACUCCUACGGGAGGCAGCAGUAGGGAAUCUUCGGCAAUGGACGAAAGUCUGACCGAGCAACGCCGCGUGAGUGAAGAAGGUUUUCGGAUCGUAAAACUCUGUUGUUAGAGAAGAACAAGGAUGAGAGUAACUGUUCAUCCCUUGACGGUAUCUAACCAGAAAGCCACGGCUAACUACGUGCCAGCAGCCGCGGUAAUACGUAGGUGGCAAGCGUUGUCCGGAUUUAUUGGGCGUAAAGCGAGCGCACGCGGUUUCUUAAGUCUGAUGUGAAAGCCCCCGGCUCAACCGGGGAGGGUCAUUGGAAACUGGGAGACUUGAGUGCAGAAGAGGAGAGUGGAAUUCCAUGUGUAGCGGUGAAAUGCGUAGAUAUAUGGAGGACCACCAGUGCCGAAAGGCGGCUUCUCUGGUCUGUAACUGACGCUGAGGCUCGAAAGC
rnacentral:rRNA from 1 species